UGUCUGUGUGUGUCAAAAACUCCAAAGGGAUUAUGUCCCUGAAUCCCUGGGUCCCUCUGUCCCCCAGCACCACCCAGGGCCCCACCAUUAACUGUAUAAGCCCUGUCCCUGUGUGUUUUACCAAAAUAUAGCACCUCACACUUACCCAGAUUAAA